AUACCGGGCGUAUAUGCGUCUGGUAAUUGGAAUGAGUACAAUUUAAAUCCCUUAACGAGGAUCAAUUGGAGGACAAGUCUGGUGCCAGCACCCGCGGUAAUUCCAGCUCCAAUAGCGUAUAUUCAAGUUGUUGCAGUUAAAAAGCUCGUAGUUGGAUUUCUGGUACGGUGCGCCUGACCCACAGUCGAAAGGCUCGUGAAGUGUCGGUGUGCGUCUGCCAUCCUUUGAGGAAGCUUAUCUCACUUCAGUGGGAGGUAGGUGAUCUCAAUCUUUUACUUUGAAAAAAUUAGAGUGUUUAAAGCAGGCUUGCGCCUUGAAUACAUUAGCAUGGAAUAAUAAUUUAGGACUUUUUUCCUAUUUUGUUGGUUUUAAGGAAUUAAGUAAUGAUUGAUAGGGAUAGUUGGGGGUGCUAGUAUUCAUCGGCCAGAGGUGAAAUUCUUGGAUUCGAUGAAGACUAACUUAUGCGAAAGCAUUCACCAAGGAUGUCUUCUUUAAUCAAGAACGAAAGUUGGGGGAUCGAAGACGAUCAGAUACCGUCGUAGUCUCAACCAUAAACUAUACCAAUUCAGGAUACGUAGAAGUUGCUUUUUCGACUCUAUGUGCACUGUAUGAGAAAUCAAAAUCUUUGGGUUCUGGGGGGAGUAUGGUCGCAAGGCUGAAACUUAAAGGAAUUGACGGAAGGGCACCACCAGGAGUGGAGCCUGCGGCUUAAUUUGACCCAACACGGGGAAACUUACCAGGUCCAGACAUAGUGAGGAUUGACAGAUUGAAGUUCUUUCUUGAUUCUAUGGGUGGUGGUGCAUGGCCGUUCUUAGUUGGUGGUGCGAAUUGUCUGGUUAAUUCCGUUAACGAACGAGACCUCGACCUACUAAAUAGUUUGACGUAGAUACGUCUAUGUACAAGCUUCUUAGAGGGACUGUCGGUUUGUAGCCGAAGGAAGUUCGAGGCAAUAACAGGUCUGUGAUGCCCUUAGAUGUUCUGGCCGCACGCGCGCUUCACUGAUACGUUCAUCGAGCUUACAACCUUGAUUGAGAGGUCUGGGUAAUCUUUUCAAAACGUAUCGUGCUGGGGAUAGAUCAUUGUAAUUAUUGAUCUUCAACGAGGAAUUCCUAGUAAGCGCGAGUCAUCAACUCGCACUGAUUACGUCCCUGCCCUUUGUACACACCGCCCGUCGCUGCUACCGAUUGAAUGCAUUAGUGAGUGCUAGGGAUCGAGGCUUAAGCUGGGGCAACUUGGCUUUUGUUUUGAGAACUAUUACAAACUUGCGCAUUUAGAGGAAGCAAAAGUCGUAACAAGGUUUCCGUAGGUGAACCUGCGGAAG
rnacentral:rRNA from 1 species